rnacentral:lncRNA from 1 species
UUUUUGUUUUUUUCUUGGUGGUUUUUUUUUUCUACAUUUCCUAUUAGUGGCUUCAGAUUUUUCUUUUAUUUUCUGAAAUGAUGCAGAUUUAUUUUACCUGAGGGAAUACAGCUGAUUCCUGUUGGCAAUUAGCCUCCCCACCACCCGGGGGUAGGGGUUAUUUAGCUCAGUUACUUUUGGAGGCCUAUUAAAAGCAGGACAGAGCUGGAUUCUAGUGCAUGAAGGAAAAAGUACUGCUAAUGUAUUGAAAAGGGUAUUUUUUUAAACUUAUAAUAUUCUUUAUUUUGCUUUAAAAUGAAGUAUCUAGUAAGUUUUCUAAAAAAAUACAAACCUCGUGAGGAUGUUGGAAAAUCCUUCUGACUCCAGUGCUUGUUGGCAGAGCUUCUGAUGGAUAUUCUUAUCUUUGAAUAUAGUUCUAGAAAGCCUGGAUAAAAAAUAUGGAAUCUGUUUCAUGUGCUGCUAGUAAGAGUAAGAUGUUGUUUGCAUCCUUUCCUCAAAGGUAAGAUACUUGUCAGAAAGCAAAAAAAAAUGUUUGUAAAAUUCAUGUGGUAACAAAGAGGAAGUUCAGUACGGAUGGAGUUGAAAAUUUGAGCUAACUCAUCAAUGGGACAUUAAGAUUUGGAUCAUUAUCUGGCAGAGUUUAGGCUUUUCAGACUGGACCAGCAGUUCUUGUUUUGUCAUGGGUUAAAUGAGAGCUUGUUUAU